rnacentral:rRNA from 1 species
UGCGUANGCGCUGUAUGCAACCUACCCUUUUCUGGGGGAUAGCCCGGAUAAUCCGGAUUACUACCGCAUAAGACCACACGAGUGGUCAUCAUCGCAGGAGGUCAAACAUUUAUGGGAGAAGGAUGGGCAUGCGUGCCAUUACGCUAGUCUGGCUGGGGUGACGGCCCACCAAGGCGACGAUGGCUAGGGGAUCUGAGAGGAUGGCCCCCCACACUGACACUGAGACACCGACCCCACUCCUACUGGAGGCACCAGUAAGGAAUAUUGAUCAAUGGGCGCAACCCUGAACCAACCAUGCCUCGGGCAUGAACACGGCCCUCCGGGUUGUAAACUGCUUUUGUACGGGAAUAAACCUCUCUACGUGUAGGGAGCUGAAUGUACCGUAAGAAUAAGGAUCGGCUAACUCCGUGCCACCAGCCGCGGUAAUACGGAGGAGCCCCUCGUUAUCCGGAUUUAUUGGGUUUAUAGGGUGCGUAGGCGGCCUGUUAACUCAGGGGUGAAAGACGGUGGCUCAUCCAUCGCAGUGCCCUUGAUACUGAUGGGCUUGAAUACACUAUAGGUAUGCGGAAUGUGACAAGUAGCGGUGAAAUGCAUAGAUAUGUCACAGAACACCGAUUGCAAAUGCAGCUUACUAUGGUCUGAUUGACGCUGACGCACGAUAGCGUGGGGAUCGAACAGGAUUAUAUACACUGGUAGUCCACGCACUAUCGAUGAACACUCGCUGUUGGCGAUAANCGGUCAGCGGCUAAGCGAAAGCGUUACNGUUCCACCUGGGGAGNCGCCNGNAUGAUGAACUCANUGANUGACANNNCCCGCACANCANACGACCAUGUGG